GGGGAAAAGCAUAGCAUAGUGGAAAAAAUAGUUUACUUAAAACUCCACUGCAACUCUUGUCGUCCCUUUUCUUCAUAGUAAAGUAAAGGUUUGACCUUUGGAUCUCUCGUCUCUAUCUAUCUUCUUCAUUAGGAUUAGGGCUACAAAGGUCGUAUCUUCUGUUGAAGCUGCGAUAAUCUGCAUUCACGAGUGUUUAUUAUCUGUGCUAUUCGUAUUCUGGUGCUGUUGAUUUGAAGAGCUCAUGUUGUAAGCAAACAGUUCAGUGAAAGGAUUUAAGGAAUGAUCCUCUCAGCACUUUUGACUUCUGUUGGAAUAAAUCUUGGACUUUGUUUUCUGUUCUUCACAUUGUAUUCUAUAUUGAGAAAGCAGCCAGGAAAUGCAGAAGUUUAUGCACCACGCUUGGUUGCUGAGGGGAGAUCUCAGCAAAUCAGUAAUUUCAAUUUGGAGAGACUUUUGCCGUCAGCUGGUUGGGUGACAAGAGCAUGGCGACCCUCAGAAGCAGAGCUCUUAGCCAACUCAGGCUUGGAUGCUGUUGUUUUCAUGCGCAUUUUUAUAUUCAGUGCUAAAGUUUUUACCUUUGCUGUCAUUGUGGGGAUUUUCAUUCUUCUGCCUAUCAAUUACAUGGGGAAUCAACUAAGUCUUGAUUUGUUUGACUUGCCCAAUAAGUCUCUGGAAUCAUUCACUAUCUCAAAUGUUGACGACGGAUCAAACAGGUUAUGGAUCCAUUUCUCAGCUGUGUAUAUUUUCACAGCAGUUGUUUGCUAUCUUCUUUACAUUGAGUAUGACUAUAUUUCAUCAAAGAGAGUUUCAUAUUUUUGUUCAUCAAAACCUCAUCCACAUCAAUUCACCAUUUUAGUUCGAAGUAUUCCAGCUUCAUCAGGAAGAAGUUACAGUGAAACAGUUGAAAGUUUUUUCUCAGAGUAUUAUCCUGCUACAUAUCUUUCACACUGGGUUGUCCGGCGAGCAAGCAAACUCCAAGGUCUCAUUAAAAAUUCUAAAAGGUUGUACAGGAGGCUUGUGAACUUGAAAUCAGCAAACCAUGAUCGAGAAAGGUUUGGGCGUGCUGGUUUCAUGGGACUUUUUGGACAGAGAGUUGAUCUACUUGAUCACUAUGAAAAGAAGCUGGAAGUUAUCGAAGACAAUGUAAGGGCCGAACAAUCUUCAUCUCUGGGAAAGGAGGUAGGAGCUGCCUUUGUAUCUUUCCGGACACGUUUUGCCGCAGCUUCAGCUACACACAUGCAGCAAGGUGUAAAUCCUACACAAUGGGUCACUGAGCCAGCUCCUGAUCCAGAGGAUGUGUAUUGGCCUUUCUUUUCAGCAUCAUUUCUAAAGAGAUGGAUUAGCAACCUGGUGGUUGUUGUGGC
rnacentral:misc_RNA from 1 species